rnacentral:lncRNA from 1 species
AGUGGCGGAUAUGCCACCCGGCAUGCCCUGGCACGUGCCUGGGCUGCCCCACCCCAAAUAUUUUUUUUAUUUUUUUUUUAAAAAAAAAUUAAUAAAAGAAACAAGAGGAAAAGAAGUACAGUAACGCGUUUCUCCUUCUCUCUGUUUCCUUCAUUCGUUUCGCGAUCGACCACCGCACCGCAGCACCACUCUCAAAUCCGGUCUCAAAUCUCUCUUUUUCUCAUUCUCUCAGUCUCAGGCCGCUCUCCGCCGCCGCUCUCAGCCUCUCUCUCGCAGUCGCAGCGCACACAGGGAAACUAAGCAACCCUAAAAUUGAGAAAUUGCAUAAAAUACAUAGAAAUUGGUAUUCCAAUUAUUAUUCUAUGUCUAACUUAAUGAUAUUAAUCAUUAUCCUUUGAUGUUGGGUUGUAGUAUGAGAAAAAAAUAUGAUUCAUGUUUUAGGUUAUUUAGAAAAAAUUGGGAUUUCAAGGUCUAAACUUGGUGAAUUUGUUAAGAAAAAAUUGGNNNNN